rnacentral:rRNA from 1 species
AUUGAACGCUGGCGGCAGGCCUAACACAUGCAAGUCGAACGAGUGGCGGACGGGUGAGUAAUGUCUGGGAAACUGCCUGAUGGAGGGGGAUAACUACUGGAAACGGUAGCUAAUACCGCAUACCAUCAGAUGUGCCCAGAUGGGAUUAGCUUGUUGGUGGGGUAACGGCUCACCAAGGCGCCGAUCCCUAGCUGGGCUUAGAAGAUGACCAGCCACACUGGAACGGAAGCACGGUCCAGACACCAACGCGAGGAAGGAGUGGGGAAUAAUGCACAAUAGGCGCAAGCCUGAUGAAGCGAUGCCGCGUGAAUGUAGAAGGCCUACGAGUUGUAAAGUACUUACAGCGGGGAGGCAUUACCCGCAGAAGAAGCACCGGCUAACUCCGUGCCAGCAGCCGCGGUAAUUC